AAACAAUCUUUGCUUGGUUCCGGAUAGGACUCUUCGUAUUUUUCUAGUUUUUUUGAUGUUUUUUUUUAUGAUUGUUUGCCAAAGAAGUGCCAAAAACUUGGUGUAGGCUAAUUAUUUAUCGUUCAGAAUCUACUGAACUAGUUUUGAGGACUGUUAUUAUUUAUCGGUCAGUGAAAAUGCCCGACGGGAAUUGACCAGUUUCAGUCGCUAUGAAUCACUAACUGUGAGAACAAAAAAGUCGAUCUCGCUUGCCGGAAAGAGAAGUGCAAGAACGACUAUCCAAACUGGCGACUUCAGGAGUGUAAACAGAAAAUUAGCAAGCAACCACUUGGCUGCCGUUGAUUUAAGGUGUCGUGAAGGCGGUUUGCUGUGGCAUUCCGGACAAGUUGAACCGCACCACGGAGGACGUGGUGACGUUCGAUGCGCACUGUUUUCCGCACCUGGUAGAGAAGUUGCAGCUGGACCUGCAUGAAAUGCGGUUUUCACAUUGCGUCCAGUGGGUGGAGGGCGCCAAGUUGAACCAGUUGAGGAGGGAAGGCAUUGGGUACUCGCGGUUAUUGCUGUACGACUAUGAUAUCCACUUCCUGCCGCGCAACAUCAUCCACCAGUUCCGAACGGUGACGGCCGUUACGAGUAUAGCGUGGCAUCUGCGGCUCAAGCAGUACUAUCCGGACCGAGAUACAGACAAGUAGAUUUUGCAGAAGAUUGCCAACGAGUACGAGGUGAAAUAAACAGUUCAAUGAUAGUAGGAAGAGCAGUAGCAGUUCGAGCCAUAAGCACUCGUCGUCGUCUUCGUCACAAGAAUCACAGCAGUAAUGGUGGAAGUAACAGUAAGAAGAACAGGCACCGCUCAAAAUACGAGCGGGACAAGAAUAAAGACUGGAACGGCACUCGGAGCGCGAUUGGGAGAGGGAAAAGGACCGUCACCGCACAAGCACAGUUCUUCUUCGAGUCAUCAGGCCUGCCCAAAACGACAAAAC